UCUGCGUACGAUGCUAGGUUCGCGGGACGGGAUGUGAAGCCGACAGCACAAUUCACGUGGCAAUCCAAGGCCCCACUACGGUGUCGCUUCUUCCUUUGGCUCGCGAUGCACAAUAAAUGUUGGACCUCGGACAGACUUGCUAGGCGCGGGCUGGAUCAUCAGGAUGCGUGCCCCUUCUUUGAUCAGCACGAGGAGACCAUUGAUCAUCUUUUACUGGGCUGCGUCUUCGUCAGAGAAGUUUGGGCUAUCAUGUGUAGAGCACUUCACAGGCCACAGUGGACGCCGAGUCAGGACUCGAGGCUGCGAGAUUGGUGUGCCGUCACUACCACUCAAGGCCAAGGUGCAAAGGAAUCACGUGUCAUCUUAUUUCUUGUGCUCUGGGAAAUUUGGAAGCACCGAAACGCGAUUGUCUUCGAGGACGCCCCCCUCUCCUUCAGGGCACUUGUGAACAGAAUUGACACUGAAGGACGAGCAUGGAAAUAA
rnacentral:rRNA from 1 species